rnacentral:ribozyme from 1 species
UGCCAAGCAACUCUUAUCCCUAUUUCCUCGUGGUACUGGCCGGGAUACGAGCAACCAUAGAGAAGUUUGAGAAACCCUGGUGAGAGCUUUUGUCGUAUGCUGACAGAGAAAG